rnacentral:rRNA from 1 species
UACGUAGGUGGCAAGCGUUGUCCGGAUUUACUGGGCGUAAAGAGCGCGCAGGCGGUCGUACAAGUCGCGUGUGAAAGCCCCCGGCUCAACUGGGGAGGGUCACGCGAUACUGUUCGACUCGAAGGCAGGAGAGGGAAGCGGAAUUCCCGGUGUAGUGGUAAAAUGCGUAGAUAUCGGGAGGAACACCAGUGGCGAAGGCGGCUUCCUGGCCUGUUCUUGACGCUGAGGCGCGAAAGCUAGGGUAGCAAACGGG